CCUACGGGUGGCAGCAGUGGGGAAUCUUGCACAAUGGGGGAAACACUGAUGCAGCGACGCCGCGUGAGUGAAGAAGUAAUUCGGUAUGUAAAGCUCUAUCAGCAGGGAAGAAAAUGACGGUACCUGAGUAAGAAGCCCCGGCUAACUACGUGCCAGCAGCCGCGGUAAUACGUAGGGGGCAAGCGUUAUCCGGCUUUACUGGGUGUAAAGGGAGCGUAGACGGCAGUGCAAGUCUGGAGUGAAAGGCGGGGGCUCAACCCCCGGACUGCUCUGGAAACUGUACGGCUGGAGUGCAGGAGAGGUAAGUGGAAUUCCUGGUGUAGCGGUGAAAUGCGUAGAUAUUAGGAGGAACACCAGUGGCGAAGGCGGCUUACUGGACGGUAACUGACGUUGAGGCUCGAAAGCGUGGGGAGCAAACAGGAUUAGAUACCCGAGUAGUC
rnacentral:rRNA from 1 species